AGCGUGGGGAGCAAACAGGAUUAGAUACCCUGGUAGUCCACGCUGUAAACGAUGUCGAUUUGGAGUUUGUUGCCUAGAGUGAUGGGCUCCGAAGCUAACGCGAUAAAUCGACCGCCUGGGGAGUACGGCCGCAAGGUUAAAACUCAAAUGAAUUGACGGGGGCCCGCACAGCGGUGGAGCAUGUGGUUUAAUUCGAUGCAACGCGAAGAACCUUACCUGGUCUUGACAUCCAUAGAAUUCUGCAGAGAUGUGGGAGUGCCUUCGGGAACUAUGAGACAGGUGCUGCAUGGCUGUCGUCAGCUCGUGUUGUGAAAUGUUGGGUUAAGUCCCGCAACGAGCGCAACCCUUAUUCUUUGUUGCCAGCGAUUUGGUCGGGAACUCAAAGGAGACUGCCGUUGAUAAAGCGGAGGAAGGUGGGGACGACGUCAAGUCAUCAUGGCCCUUACGACCAGGGCUACACACGUGCUACAAUGGCGUAUACAAAGGGAAGCGAAGGUGCGAGCUGGAGCGGAUCUCAUAAAGUACGUCUAAGUUCGGAUUGGAGUCUGCAACUCGACUCCAUGAAGUCGGAAUCGCUAGUAAUCGUAGAUCAGAAUGCUACGGUGAAUACGUUCCCGGGCCUUGUACACACCGCCCGUCACACCACGGGAGUGGGUUGCACCAGAAGUAGAUAGCUUAACCGCGAGGGGGGCGUUUACCACGGUGUGAUUCAUGACUGGGGUGAAGUCGUAACAAGGUAACCA
rnacentral:rRNA from 1 species